UUUUUAAUCAAUUUCUUUUUAUUUUUUCAUAAAUGAAGAGCCACGCCAUGUCAGCAAAAGAAUUAGUGACCAACUGUGUUGCCAACGAAUUUAGCGACGAUAAACUUCUUACUUCAUUUUUUAAAUAAAUUCCAUUUUGAAAAUGAAAAGUUGGCAAAUAAAAGAUUCAGUGACAAGAAAUCUAGCAGCAAAAUAUAGCCAUGUAGUCUUCAAAAAUUUAUAAAAAUUUGUAUUCAGCUUACCGAGAGUGGCUGAUUUAAAGGUGGUGGUGCCCCCUCCAACACUUUUGCUACCAGUUAUUAUAGUUUUUCCAAUACCAUCUCCUACUAGCAUUAUGUUCUUCAACUUUUUACCAAUUUCAAUAUUCUCCUUGUAAACACCCGCCUUAACACGAAUCACAUAUCUCCCGUUUCCUGAUCUUUUUGCCGCGGCAGCUAUGGCGGCUGCAAUCGUCUUGUAGUUACCCGAACCAUCUUGAGCCACCACAACGUUGGCUUGAGGAUUUGAUGACUGCAAUAGCUUCCUAUCACCCGGCUUCAUCCAACCCGGAAAUCCAGAUUUCUGAUCAUGACUAGAUGCACCAUAUGAUGAAUUAUUCCCACCUUUGUUCAUUGCUAAAGUGUUGCUAAUCAAAGAGGACACAUUAUUGUUCAUCAACGGCCACACGUAGUCGCUUACACCUAACUCUUCGAACCCCGCCUUGCAUGUUUCGAGAUUCGUGAGUGCAGUGCUAAGCCAGGUCUGCAUGUCGACCUGGCUACACUUUUUGUAAGGAUCAACGGUUUUGUUGAUCCUCAUGAUGGUGUCUUCGUAAAGCUCUAAGCAGUCGGCCCAAGCUGCCUUCUCACGCUUGUUGCGGCAUUUUGGGCCGAGCUUUUGAGUGUGGGACCCUGCGUAUUCGGCACGUUGUAACGUGACCUUUAACAAGGCUUUCACAAAGUCGGGCUUUUGCUUGAUCGAACCGUGGUUUGAGUUAGUGCCAAGGAAAUGCUCACAGGGUUGUGGCUUAAGAAAGAUGAGAAAGAAGAAAAUUAGGAUUGUGU
rnacentral:lncRNA from 1 species